UACGGGAGGGGCAAGCGUUAUUCGACAUGACUGGGCGUAAAGGGUCCGUAGACUGUAAAGUAAGUUACUUGUUAAAUAUUAAAGCUUAACUUUAAAACAGCUUGUAAUACUGCUUUACUUGGAGUUUUAUACAGAAGAGUAGAAUUUUAUACGGAAGGGUAAAAUCUAAAGAUAUAUAAAGGAAUGCCAGUAGCGAAGGCGACUCCUUGGUAAAGACUGACGUUGAGGGACGAAAGUGUGGGGAGCAAACAGG
rnacentral:rRNA from 1 species